UACGUAGGGUCCGAGCGUUGUCCGGAGUUACUGGGCGUAAAGCGCGCGCAGGCGGCGGUGCUGGCCCGGCGUGAAAGCCCCCGGCUCAACCGGGGAGGGUCGUCGGGGACCGCACCGCUUGAGGGCGGUAGGGGCUGGUGGAAUGCCUGGUGUAGUGGUGAAAUGCGUAGAGAUCAGGCGGAACACCUGUGGCGAAGGCGGCCAGCUGGGCCGUCCCUGACGCUGAGGCGCGAAGGCGUGGGGAGCGAACGGG
rnacentral:rRNA from 1 species